rnacentral:rRNA from 1 species
GGAUGGGUCUGCGGCCGAUUAGGUAGUUGGUUAGGUAACGGCUUACCAAGCCGUUGAUCGGUACGGGUUGUGAGAGCAAGAGCCCGGAGAUGGAACCUGAGACAAGGUUCCAGGCCCUACGGGGUGCAGCAGGCGCGAAACCUCCGCAAUGUGAGAAAUCGCGACGGGGGGAUCCCAAGUGCCAUUCUUAACGGGAUGGCUUUUCAUUAGUGUAAAAAGCUUUUGGAAUAAGAGCUGGGCAAGACCGGUGCCAGCCGCCGCGGUAACACCGGCAGCUCUAGUGGUAGCAAUUUUUAUUGGGCCUAAAGCGUCCGUAGCCGGUUUAAUAAGUCUCUGGUGAAAUCCUGUAGCUUAACUGUGGGAAUUGCUGGAGAUACUAUUAGACUUGAGACCGGGAGAGGUUAGAGGUACUCCCAGGGUAGAGGUGAAAUUCUGUAAUCCUGGGAGGACCGCCUGUUGCGAAGGCGUCUAACUGGAACGGUUCUGACGGUGAGGGACGAAAGUUAGGGGCGCGAACCGGAUUAGAUACCCGGGUAGUCCUAACUGUAAACGAUGCGGACUUGGUGUUGGGGUGGCUUUGAGCUGCUCCAGUGCCGAAGGGAAGCUGUUAAGUCCGCCGCCUGGGAAGUACGGUCGCAAGACUGAAACUUAA